rnacentral:rRNA from 1 species
UGCUCGAGUGGCGAACGGGUGAGUAACACGUGAGUAGCCUGCCCUUGACUUUGGGAUAACUUCAGGAAACUGGGGCUAAUACCGGAUAGGAGCUCCUGCUGCAUGGUGGGGGUUGGAAAGUUUCGGCGGUUGGGGAUGGACUCGCGGCUUAUCAGCUUGUUGGUGGGGUAGUGGCUUACCAAGGCUUUGACGGGUAGCCGGCCUGAGAGGGUGACCGGCCACAUUGGGACUGAGAUACGGCCCAG